UACGGGGGGGGGCAAGCGUUGUUCGGAAUUACUGGGCGUAAAGGGUUCGUAGGUGGCUUGUUAAGUCAGACGUGAAAUCCCUCGGCUCAACCGGGGGAACUGCGUCUGAGACUGAUGAGCUCGAGUGCAGGAGAGGAACGCGGAAUUCCAGGUGUAGCGGUGAAAUGCGUAGAUAUCGGAAGGAACAUCAGUGGCGAAAGCGGCUUCCUGGACCAGCACCGACGUUCAGGCACGAAAGCGUGGGGAGCAAACAGG
rnacentral:rRNA from 1 species